GAGUUUGAUCAUGGCUCAGAUUGAACGCUGGCGGCAGGCCUAACACAUGCAAGUCGAGCGGUAGAGAGAAGCUUGCUUCUCUUGAGAGCGGCGGACGGGUGAGUAAUGCCUAGGAAUCUGCCUGGUAGUGGGGGAUAACGCUCGGAAACGGACGCUAAUACCGCAUACGUCCUACGGGAGAAAGCAGGGGACCUUCGGGCCUUGCGCUAUCAGAUGAGCCUAGGUCGGAUUAGCUAGUUGGUGAGGUAAUGGCUCACCAAGGCGACGAUCCGUAACUGGUCUGAGAGGAUGAUCAGUCACACUGGAACUGAGACACGGUCCAGACUCCUACGGGAGGCAGCAGUGGGGAAUAUUGGACAAUGGGCGAAAGCCUGAUCCAGCCAUGCCGCGUGUGUGAAGAAGGUCUUCGGAUUGUAAAGCACUUUAAGUUGGAGGAAGGGCAGUAAUUAAUACUUUAGCUGUUUGACGUUACCGACAGAAUAAGCACCGGCUAACUCUGUGCCAG
rnacentral:rRNA from 1 species